rnacentral:lncRNA from 1 species
UUCUUUAUUAACAUAUUCAGGAUGACCCCAAAGACUAAGCUCCAUGUAUUCAUACCAACAACACUACACAGCACCACCAUGUAAUGUCUCCACGAGGGUUAUGGAGUUACAUCCAUCAACCAUUCACCUGAUCAACAACGUACUCACAAUCAUUGUCAUAUAUCCCACAUAAUCAUAUACAUAUAUUUCUCAUAAACCUAGUAAGAAAUCACAUGAAACCAAUACAUAAACAUCAAAGCACAAGAAUUAAUUCAAGAGGAAC